rnacentral:rRNA from 1 species
UGGGGAAUUUUGGACAAUGGGCGAAAGCCUGAUCCAGCCAUUCCGCGUGCAGGAUGAAGGCCCUCGGGUUGUAAACUGCUUUUGUACGGAACGAAAAAGCUCCGGCUAAUACCUGGAGUCCAUGACGGUACCGUAAGAAUAAGCACCGGCUAACUACGUGCCAGCAGCCGCGGUAAUACGUAGGGUGCAAGCGUUAAUCGGAAUUACUGGGCGUAAAGCGUGCGCAGGCGGUUUUGUAAGACAGAGGUGA